rnacentral:rRNA from 1 species
AACCCUCGUCCAAUGUUGCCAGCGGAUAAUGCCGGGGACUCAUUGGAGACCGCCGGGGGUCAACUCGGAGGAAGGUGGGGAUGACGUCAAGUCAUCAUGCCCCUUAUGUCCAGGGGCUUCACGCAUGCUACAAUGGCCGGUACAAAGAGCUGCAAACCUGCAAGGGUGAGCGAAUCUCAAAAAGCCGGUCUCAGUUCGGAUUGGGGUCUGCAACUCGACCCCAUGAAGUCGGAGUCGCUAGUAAUCGCAGAUCAGCAACGCUGCGGUGAAUACGUUCCCGGGGCUUGUACACACCGCCCGUCAAGUCAUGAAAGUCGGUAACACCCGAAGCCGGUGGCCCAACCUUUUGGAGGGAGCCGUCGAAGGUGGGACUGGUAAUUAGGACUAAGUCGUAACAAGGUAGCCGUACCGGAAGGUGCGGCUGGAUCACCUCCUUUCUAAGGAGCCAAUUGGUCAGGCGCAUGGCGAUCUGAUCCAAGCGCAUGGGUUCCGGAGCGUUCGUCUCCGGCCCAGGCAGGCUACGAAAUGUGGAAC